UUUUUUUUUUUUUUUUUUGAGACAAGGUCUCACUCUGUUGCUCAGACUGGAGUACAGUGGCGGAAUCUUGGCUCACCGGCACCCUCCACCUCCCUGGCUCAAGCGAUUCCCCUGCCUCAGCCUCUGGAGUACCUGGGAUUACGGGCACACGCCACUACCACCCAGCUUAUUUUUGUAUUUUUGGUAGAGACAGGGUUGUUCACUAUGUUGACCAGGCUGGUCUUGAACUCCUGACCUCAAAUGAUCCACCCGCCUCGGCCUCCCAAAGUGCUGGGAUUACAGGUGGGAGCCACUGUGCCCGGCCAUUGCAUCAAUUUUUUAGUAAUAGAUGAUGUAGGAGAUUGCUGAAACUGUGAAGACUUAGAACAUUUUAAUAUUUCUGAAAAUUAACUUUUUUCAAUUUUGAAAAUUACAGCUUCCGAAUAAAGAACUGAAUUUUUAAAAAUAAAAUUAGACUUAAAUAUAUAAAGUUUAAAGAUAAAACGUUUUAUGAUAAAAUAUGCCAGAAACAGACUUGCUUUGUGUAUAAGAGGUAGGCUUGGCUGGGCAUGGUGGCUCACAGGAGGCUGAGACAAUCACUUGAGCUCAGGAGUUUGAGACCAGCCUGGGUAACAUGGCAAAACCCCAUCUCGACCAAAAAUACAAAAAUUAGCUGAGUGUGGUAGCGUGCGUCUGUAGUCCCAGCUACUCAGGAGACUGAGGCAGGAGGAUCCCUUGAGCCCAGGAGGUGGAGGUUGUUGUGAGCUGAGAUCGUGCCAUUUCCAGCCUGGGAGACAGAGUAAAACCCUGCUCCAAAAAAAGGUAAAGGCUUGCUAUUUAUGCCAUUUCAAGGAAUUAGUAAGAAAAAUCAUAGAUUAAUGGGUAAAAGAUAAGAAUAAUUAAUUCAAUGGCAGUGCUUAUCCAAUCAAUAAAAGACAUAAAAAUGAUACUGAAGGAAGUGCAAAUUUGUAGUAUUAGUACAAUAUCCUUUCUCUAUUGGGAUAAAAUUAACUGGACACAAUGUGCUGGUCUCAUUCAGGGAGCUCCUGCUUUAAGUACCUCUUCAUGCUUUGAGGCCACAUUUGUUACUCAGACUUUACAACAGUGGCUCUGAGUUCUGCCCUGUUUCUGGUACCUGAGGAACUUCCUCUCAUCCUUUUGAUAUUUCUUAUGUAUUUUUAUUGUUUUGUUAUGUUUUAUUCAGCAUUUCUACUUUCUGUUGCUUUGGGUGAGGUUUUCUAUUGCACUUAAGUUCACCAUAACGACUGGAGCACAUCACAAUUUUUUUUUUAUAACCAGACAAAUUGUCUUGUAAAUAUUAAGGAGACUGGCAGAUGUUAUCAAAUAUAAAAUAACUAUUGGAAUUAGCAUCUGUAAGCCCUUCUUGAUCAAAGUAUUAAGAGUCAAUUAUAGUUAACCAAGAAGUAAAUGAAAAUAACACUGGAAUAGAAGAACUGUGACAGUGGGCUGGUGCUAAUCAUUGAAUCCAUGUAAGUAUUGAACUAGAAGAGCAACUGAGGAAGUUAAGAUUGCACAAUAAAAUGUUUUUCUGAAAGGUGUAGGAAUAAUUAUCGAGUGGUAAUCUUAUUCUUCAUUGUAUGGUGCCAGUACUUACUCUAAAGUUACUAUGUGGUAAAACAUUUUAUAUAUAUAUUAAAUAUGUAUAUUAUAUAUAAUGUAUGUAUGUAAAUAUAUUUUGUUCAAUUAUUUUAUUUUAUUAAUUUUAUUUUAUAUGUAAAUAUAUAUUUAUAUAAAUAAAUACAAAAAAUGUUUUACCCUACUUUUUAUUAAAAAGUUUUUUCAAUGAUCCUUUUGUAGGUACUUAUAUUUCUUGUGAAAUAACAUUUAUCUGAACAUUAGUAACUCCUUCACUGUCAUUUUGCUCUCAUUUUCCUGUCUUUAUAGGAACUAAAAUAAAAUGGAGUAAUUUGAAAUAAAGUAUAUAAUAAAUGGCAUUAAAAUAACCCCAUUUUAAAAUAUUGAGGUAUAAUUUACAUACAUUAAAAUGCAUCAUAGGUGUUCCAUUUGACAUAAUAGAUCACAUUUUCUGUACUCCUGAAAGUUUCCUUGUGCUCCUUUCCAGUCAGUUCCCCUCUUCCCAGUAGCCACUUUGUGGUAUAAUCCCAGGUUUCCAGGUUAAUGAAAUUAUUUCUAACUAUGUUUUUAAUACAUUCACAUUUUUCUUGCUAAAUUAUAUGCCAAAAAGUGUCCAAUAAAUGUUAAAUGUUUUAGGAUGAUGGCAGUUUGGGUAAUUCAUUACUUUCUUAUUUAUGCUUUUCUGUAUUGUGUGUGUAUGUGUGUGUGUGUGUGUGUUUUGUUUUGUUUUUUUUUUUGAGACAGGGUCUUGCUCUGUCAUGUAGGUUGGAGUGCAGUGGUAUGAUCAUAGCUCACUGCAGCCUCGACCUCCCAGCCUCCCAGGCUCAAUAAAUCUUACCACCUCAGCCUCCCAAGUAGCUGAGACUAUAGGCACUUGCUAUCACAUCUGGCUAAUUUUGUGUUUUUUUGUAGAGAAAGGUUUUGCCAUGUUUCCCAGGCUGGUCUCCAGCACUCCUGGGCUCAAGCAAUCUUCCAGCGUUAGCCUGCCAAAGUGCUGGGAUUACAGGUGUGAGUAAUCAUGUCUGGUCUUUUCUGUAUUAUUUGAUUUUUUAUUUUUGGUAGUAAGUCUUAGAUUUAAAAAAUCAGAACCUAAUUAUGAAAGGUAUGUACCAGAAAAGAACAGGUUCAAAGAGAAAAAGGGUGUGAAGUGUUUCUUAGAUUGGUGCUUGUCAUGAUUUUGAGAGAUGAUGAUACCAGUCCCUGAAAUAGAGUAAGGAAAAUUGAAAAAAAAAA
rnacentral:lncRNA from 1 species